rfam:Oryza punctata chromosome 2, whole genome shotgun sequence.
AAUAAGUGCAGUUAUGCACGGUUCAUGUUCAACGUUUGACCGUCUAUCUUAUUUGAAAAUUUUUUAUGAUUAGUAUUUUUGUUGUUAUUAGAUGAUAAAACAUGAAUAGUAAUUUGUGUAUGACUAAUUUUUUUUAAUAUUUUUAGAAAUUUUUCAAAUAAGACGGAUGGUCAAACGUUGGACAUGGAAAUCCACGACUGUACUUAUU